UCUUAUCCAGAGAGGCGAAGGGACUGGCCCGAUGAUGCCCAGCAACCUGAAUGUAUAGCAAUAUAUACUCAAGGUGCUAAUUCCUACAAACUUUUAUCAGUUUGGAAGAUAAGA
rnacentral:ncRNA from 1 species